ACCUGGCUGGCCCAGUAGGUGGAGCGCGGGACUCUUGAUCUCGGGGUUGUGAGUUCGAGCCCCAUGUUGAGUA
rnacentral:tRNA from 1 species